GAUGAAGAACGCAGCGAAAUGCGAUAAGUAAUGCGAAUUGCAGAAUUCCAGUGAGUCAUCGAAUCUUUGAACGCACAUUGCGCACUUUGGUAUUCCGAAGGGCAUGCCUGUUCGAGCGUCAUUAUCACCCCUCAAGCCCUCGGCUUGGUGUUGGACGGUUUGGUGGAGGCCCCCUCGGGGGCUCCUGCCCCUCCCAAAGACAAUGACGGCGGCCUCGUUGGACCCCCGGUACACUGAGUUCUUCACGGGACACGUAUCGGACACAUGGGUUUACGGGACACGGUCUGCCUCCCCUCAGGGAGAAUCUUUCUAAGGUUGACCUCGGAUCAGGUAGGGAUACCCGCUGAACUUAAGCAUAUCAAUAAGCGGAGGA
rnacentral:misc_RNA from 1 species